rnacentral:rRNA from 1 species
CUGGCUCAGGAUGAACGCUGGCGGUCUGCUUAACACAUGCAAGUCGAACGGAGUCCUUCGGGACUUAGUGGCGGACGGGUGAGUAACGCGUGAGAAUCUGCCCUUAGGACGGGGACAACAGCUGGAAACGGCUGCUAAUACCCGAUGUGCCGAGAGGUGAAACAUUUUAUGGCCUGAGGAUGAGCUCGCGUCUGAUUAGCUAGUUGGUGGGGUAAGAGCCUACCAAGGCGACGAUCAGUAGCUGGUCUGAGAGGAUGAUCAGCCACACUGGAACUGAGACACGGUCCAGACUCCUACGGGAGGCAGCAGUGGGGAAUUUUCCGCAAUGGGCGAAAGCCUGACGGAGCAAUACCGCG